AGAGAAAGAGAGAGAGAGCGCAUGAGAAUUAAGAUAGUUCUAGAAAAGAAUUCUGAAUGAGAGUCCAGAAAUAUGUCAAGUCUUCAAAAAAAUAUUGAAAAAGUAAUGAGAUGGAUAUACAGCCUUAAAAAAAAUAUACAAACAUUUAUUAUAGUAUAAUACCAUUCUCCAAAACUCUUUCUUGUGUUGAAUUUACAAGUUAACUUCCUUAUGUUUUAAGAUAAAUGGAUUGAAAAUAUCUGGCCAUUUUUCCUAUAUAUGGUAUUUAGUAUUACAAACUUACAAUUCCUGGCGACUCUCAAUUACUGUCUUUAAAGGAUUUCCGAUCAGAUCAGAAUGCUUUAUUUCAAACUUUCAACCAUUUGAAUCCAUUUCUUUAUGUUGAAGAUAUGGCAUCAAUUUCACAAAAUAAGAAGUUGGAUUAAAUAAUACAUUUUUUUGAUGCAUGGCUUUAGUUGGACAGUACAAAAUUAUCUUCUAGGUCAUUGUAGUUGUCAUAUUCCUAGAUUGAGAAUUCUUCUGUCCCUAUAAUAAACCUGAUCAUGAUUUCUUCUUAGAUGGUUGCAAUCAUCUAUUUUCCUCAAUUUACUCAUAUAGAGAAAGUUGAGAGAAAAAAGAUAGUGGGCAAUAUAAAAAUAAUAGUUUGCUUUAGAAAUCCUUUCCCUACGGUUGCUAACACUAAUCUUGUAAAAUUCUCUCCAGCAUAAAUACAUGUGUAGUAGAUCUUAUAUUAAACAUAUGUCAGCCACAUAUACUAAUAGACAACAAAAGAUUGAGCAGGAGUGCUUUUGAGUGGUUAAACACAAGCCAAAUGGUUAAGAAU
rnacentral:misc_RNA from 1 species